GACGAACGCUGGCGGCGUGCUUAACACAUGCAAGUCGAACGAAGAGCGAUGGAAGCUUGCUUCUAUCAAUCUUAGUGGCGAACGGGUGAGUAACGCGUAAUCAACCUGCCCUUCAGAGGGGGACAACAGUUGGAAACGACUGCUAAUACCGCAUACGAUCUAAUCUCGGCAUCGAGGAUAGAUGAAAGGUGGCCUCUACAUGUAAGCUAUCACUGAAGGAGGGGAUUGCGUCUGAUUAGCUAGUUGGAGGGGUAACGGCCCACCAAGGCGAUGAUCAGUAGCCGGUCUGAGAGGAUGAACGGCCACAUUGGGACUGAGACACGGCCCAGACUCCUACGGGAGGCAGCAGUGGGGAAUCUUCCGCAAUGGACGAAAGUCUGACGGAGCAACGCCGCGUGAGCGAUGACGGCCUUCGGGUUGUAAAGCUCUGUUAAUCGGGACGAAAGGCCUUCUUGCGAAUAGGGAGAAGGAUUGACGGUACCGGAAUAGAAAGCCACGGCUAACUACCUG
rnacentral:rRNA from 1 species